rnacentral:lncRNA from 1 species
CACAGUGCGAAUAAUUCAAAGCUUAUUAGAUAGAACCAAGCCAUGCUCUCUUGCACGCGUGGUCGAUUCUACAUGGUGGGAUGAAUAUGCUUGCGAUAGGAAAGGUGCGUGCAACCAUCCUACCUAAUAAUUCAUUGUAACACGGAGGGUAGUCAAACAGAAAUAAAUGAAGCAGCAUUCACAAAAUGACCAAAACCGUAGAUAUUUCUUGACAUAACUUUUGCUGCAAAGACAUGAAUUCUACUGCUGAAACAAUUGAAUAGCGACUUGCAGUGGUAAUUCGAUCUAAAGGCACUAAUUACGCCGCUUUAACUCAAAUGCCAUUUGAAUUAACGAACUUCGUGCAGCUAUUUUAUUAUCAGAACAUUGAAUGGUAUUAAGUUGGUAGAUAACCACAUGCGGGUCUGUAGUUGUCAAACUGAAAUAAAUGAAGUUACACAUCCAAAAUGACAGAAGAUUUGUAGGUGACGUUUGGUACUUCUUUCCUCAAUAUCUUACUCUUUUACUUCUGAAAAUUCAUUUGUUGCUAUAAAUGCUCGUAAGACAUUGAUCCUACUUCCCACAAGAAUGGAAUAGCGACUUGCAAUGGUAUAGCAAUCUAAAGGCACCGAUUAAACAGCCUUGUUUCGACAUUAUUGAACCAAAAACAGCUGGAGGCAAUCAAAGGCAGACCUAUAUGUUGGAUCUAAGCACUUAAAGUAGGUCAGUAAUUACACUCAAUAGAACAUUGAUUCUAGAGUUGGGACACAGCAUUAUGUACAUGGACUACCUUAGUGAAGUUAACCAAUAACUAGAAGAUGUAGCAAGAACUAUAUAACAAUAAUUAGAGAACCUGAAACUGGUAAAAAAUACCUGCAAAGUAGAUUAACUCAAAAUUAUGCAGCUUUGCUGAUGGAGUAUCUCAUAGUGUAUGAGAUUAAUGGCUCAAACCUUGAUAUUGCAGAAGAAAAAAAAAUCAGAAAAAGUAUGUAGGCUUAAUGCAGAAGCUACUUUCUCAACUAACUGAACAACUUGUAUUUUAUUUUCUUGCUGUCUGAAAGGACUAUCAGGACCACAUCUUGAUUUGCAUGAAUCCCUAGACACCCUAGCCUCUAUCUAUGAACUGUUUCAGUACCACUCUUUGGUUGAUUAAGUUAUAUAGAUGAGCUCUUGAGAUUGCAAUCAAAACGUUGGUCCAUGAUCUCAACCCAUGAAAGCCUAGUUCCAACCAGCUUUUUAUUGUCAUUUAACUUAUCCGGUUCUCUAAGAAAAGGACCUCUCUUUCUUAUCAGUUAUGCGUACACAUGCUAGAAACAUGGCUGCUUAAACUUGAAAGAAUAAAAUGAGAAGAUGAAAGAAGGGGGAAGAAGGAAUUAUAAACUAAUACACGACGUUGAUAAUUAUUUUUAAUUCCCUUGCAAAUUGAGGUCCUUUUCAAAUUUCUCAUCUCUUUUCAUUUUCUGUUGUCUUUUUAGGAUAUCUCAUUAGCCUAACAUUGUCUCUACAUAGAAUAUAUCCAUGAGACACAUUUGUAAUUGUCCCAAGAAGAAUGAUAUGAUAACUGAAAAGGUGGCAUCCCCACCAAACUGAGAAGUCAAAAUCAU